AACCUAUUAACUCAACUGGUAGAGCACUAUGCAUAUGCAUAGGGGAUGUAGGUUCGAUUCCUACAUAGGUUG
rnacentral:tRNA from 1 species